rnacentral:misc_RNA from 1 species
AUGUAACAGUGUAUAGAGGCACCUAAGAAAAUACUAUAGAUUUUGAGCACUAAGAAAGGUAAAAAGGUGUAAGUUAAUACCAAUAACAAAGACACUUAUAACUUCAAAGCCAACAGAAGAAAACAAUGCAACACAAGAAUUCUGUGCAUAUGAAGAGCUGAGAAUCAUUUGCAAAAGGGGUAAGGAUUAAGUGUGCAAAAUUGUCCUCUGAAAUUAAAGGGAAAUAAAUCGAACUUACAGGUACAGUAAAUUUGUUUAUUUUAAUGAUAAAAGAAAUUUAUUAGAGGAAUAAUAAUGGAAUUUUCUAUAAGACCAAGUAGGCAAACAAAUAUUCAACAUAUUGCCAAUUAACAUUACACGACAGAGGGUGUACAUGUAGAUCAUCUGAUUAGAAAUCUUAUAUUUUAGUAUGUAAACACAUUAAAUGCAUGACAGAUACAACCAACCAAUAAUAUGGUAACAGAUUGGCCAAGAAUAUCUUACAAGCAAAGCACCAAAGAAGCAAGCUUUCAAAAUUUGCAGCUAGGCCCAAAUGAAAUCACAUGCAGUUCUAUAGAAUGUGAACUCCAAUGUGAUUGAAAUGCACAAUAAAUGAAACAAAAAAGGUUGAAUAAAGUUGGGUGGCUUUCAAAACACAAGAUUGUAAAACUAAGUAUUUAAUCUUCUUUCUACACAUUCCUUAGACUAUUCCAAAAUGAAGCUAGCCACUCCAACUCCAAACCACCAACCAACUCCUAAGGAUGAUGACCCAAAUCUUGUACUCAAACAGUGUAGUUCUUUGUUCCCCAAUCUAAUUUAUGAAAAGUACUACCAUAAGUAAAACCAUUUGAGAUUUUACACAAGAUUCUAAAUAUAAAUAAAGUCAUAACAACAAGUACAAAAACUUAAUGAUCUCCAAUUAAGAACUUUUUAUGUAAUCUGAGGCCUUUAGGAGGAGAUAAACUCCAAGUAUGAUUUCGCAGUAUUGUUAUAAUUAUCAACAGCAGUGCAAUCAUAGUCCAUGUAAUGAAACAUAAAAGAAUUCAAAAUAAACCAAAAAAAACCAACUGGACAAGACUGUCUUGGUAGCAAAUAUCCCGAAAAAUAGCUCUAGAUAUAAUUAUACAGGUCAUACAUAUGAUCAUUUAUAUUAGUAUGCAUAUGAAAGCAAAAGGUUCCUUGCAUUACUAACUACCCAAAAAAAAAGGCUAAUUUUUUAGAGCCUAAGCGCCAAUUUCAAUUUACAAAACAAACCUUUUUUGAUGAUAUUGAAGAA